rnacentral:rRNA from 1 species
GACGAACGCUGGCGGCGUGCCUAAUACAUGCAAGUAGAACGCUGAAGCGAGGAGCUUGCUCUUCUUGGAUGAGUUGCGAACGGGUGAGUAACGCGUAGGUAACCUGCCUUGUAGCGGGGGAUAACUAUUGGAAACGAUAGCUAAUACCGCAUAACAAUGGAUGACACAUGUCAUUUAUUUGAAAGGGGCAAUUGCUCCACUACAAGAUGGACCUGCGUUGUAUUAGCUAGUAGGUGAGGUAAUGGCUCACCUAGGCGACGAUACAUAGCCGACCUGAGCGGGUGAUCGGCCACACUGGGACUGAGACACGGCCCAGACGCCUACGGGAGGCAGCAGUAGGGAAUCUUCGGCAAUGGGGGCAACCCUGACCGAGCAACGCCGCGUGAGUGAAGAAGGGUUUCGGAUCGUAAAGCUCUGUUGUAAGUCAAGAACGGGUGUGAGAGUGGAAAGUUCACACUGUGACGGUAGCUGACCAGAAAGGGACGGCUAACUACGUG